GCACGUUAGCAGGGCCUGGUGCUUCUGGAGGAACACAGGCCUGCGUGCCAAACAGGCCCAGCUGGCCCGACCCUCCACAGCCGACGAGGCCCCACGGGGUCAGGAGAGGCUCUCUGGGAAGGGCUGACCCCCACCUGCCCCGGGGACAGCCUCCUGCUGCCCGGCUCCAGCUCGGCCUCCACCUGCAUGUCCCAGGCUUCCUCUUUGCUGCAGAGCCAGCCCCCCAUAUCAGGACCUCGGGGUCCCGGAAAGAGCAGCGCAGAGCCCAGGAAGAAGGCCGCAGCCAUGCCUGACUCCCCAGCUGAGGUGAAGAUGCAGCCCCGGUCUACACCCCCCAGCAUGCCGCCCCCGCCGCCUGCCGCUGCCGCCCAGGGGGCCACGCGCCCGCCCUCCUUCACGCCGCACACACAUGGUGAGGACGGGUCUGCGACAUCUCUGCCCCACGGCCGUUUUCAUGGCUGCUUAAAGUGGUCCAUGGUCUGUCUCUUGAUGAACGGCAGCAGCCACUCGCCCACCGCCGCCCACGGCACCCCGUCCACACCCAAUGGCUUCAGCAACGGGCCGGCCACCUCGUCCACGGCCUCGCUGUCCACGCAGCACCUGCCCCCGGCCUGUGGGGUGCGGCAGCUGAGCAAGCUGAAGCGCUUCCUUACCACUCUGCAGCAGUUUGGCAGCGACAUCUCCCCCGAGAUUGGGGAGCGCGUGCACACGCUGGUGCUGGGGCUGGUGAACUCCACGCUGACCAUCGAAGAGUUUCACUCCAAGCUCCAAGAGGCCACCAACUUCCCUCUGCGACCAUUUGUCAUCCCCUUCCUGAAGGCCAACCUGCCCCUGCUCCAGCGAGAGCUCCUGCACUGCGCUCGCCUGGCCAAGCAGACACCUGCCCAGUACCUGGCCCAGCACGAGCAGCUCCUGCUGGACGCCAGCGCCGCCUCGCCGGUGGACUCCUCUGAGCUUCUGCUGGAAGUUAACGAGAAUGGCAAGAGGAGGUCGCCUGACAGGACCAAAGAGAACAGGUCAGACCGUGACCCGCUGCACCCCGACCACCUCAGCAAGCGGGCCUGCACGCAGAGCCCCGCCCAGCGCUGCAGCCCUAGCAGCGCGCCGCCCCACCCCACCCCACCGCCCCACUACCGCCUGGAGGACAUGGCCAUGGCCCACCACUUCCGCGACGCCUACCGACCCCCCGACCGGGAGCUGCGGGAGCGCCAUCGGCAGCCCGUGGUGCCUGGGUCGCGGCAGGAAGAGGUGAUUGACCACAAGCUGACCGAGCGAGAGUGGGCAGAGGAGUGGAAACACCUCAACCAUCUCCUGAACUGCAUCAUGGACAUGGUGGAGAAGACGCGGCGGUCGCUCACUGUGCUGCGCCGGUGCCAGGAGGCUGACCGGGAGGAGCUCAACCACUGGAUCCGGCGCUACAGCGACGCGGAGGAUGGGAAGAGCGGCCCUGCUCCCGCCCCGGCCCGGCCCCUCAACGGCAGCAGCGGCUCGGAGGGCUCUCAGCUAGACAUCCACCGGGAGUUUGUGCCCAGGAUGCUCUCAGGCUAUGUGCCCGAGGAGAUCUGGAGGAAGGCUGAAGAGGCUGUGAACGAGGUGAAGCGGCAGGCGAUGUCGGAGCUGCAGAAAGCCGUGUCUGACGCAGAGCGCAAAGCCCACGAGCUCAUCACCACCGAGCGCGCCAAGAUGGAGCGGGCACUGGCCGAGGCCAAGCGGCAGGCCUCGGAGGACGCCCUGACGGUCAUCAACCAGCAGGAGGACUCCAGUGAGAGCUGCUGGAACUGCGGGCGCAAGGCCAGCGAGACCUGCAGCGGCUGCAACGCGGCCCGCUACUGCGGGUCCUUCUGCCAGCACAAGGACUGGGAGAAGCACCACCACGUGUGCGGCCAGAGCCUCCAGGGCCCCGCGGCCGCCGUGGCUGACCCCCUGCCCGGACAGCCCGACGCCACCGCCAGCCCCAGCGAGGCCGGCUCCGCCGGACCCUCCCGCCCCUGCUCCCCGGGCCUGCCUGGACCGCUGGAUGCCGCCGUGCCCCGCUGACCCCCGGCCCUGCUGGCCCACGAGCCCCAGCCCCGGCCGGCGGACGCUGUGCCCCGCUGCCCGCCCGGCCCCGCAGAGCCUGGGCUGAAGCCACUGCUGCUACUGCUUCUCUCCAAAAGAAAACACAGACCCAACACCACUGCAUCCCGGCAGCCUCCUCAGCUGCCUGACGCUCGCUCACCACGACCACCACCUCUUCCCCAGCGUCAGGGAAACUGCCACGGGGGAGGGGAGGGGCCGCCAGCCUCAGGGGCAGCGGCGGAGGCGUAGCACCGGCAGCGUGGCCGGCUCUGCCCCUGUCCUGUCUCCCUCUGCCCCGUCUCUGUCCUCUCUCUCUCCCUCUCCCUCUCUCUCUCUCUCUCUCUCUCUCUCUCUCUCUCUCUGUCUCUCAUUCCUGUCUUUUGACUUUUACGUACGUUCUCUAUCAUGGAAAAAGUCUACGUGUUGGCUUGUUUUCGGUGAAGAACUUCUGUGGGUCUUGUUUCGUUGGCUUAAGCGCUACUUCAAAAUGGACACAGACGACUGAGGAGUUCUCCCCUUCCUUAAGCUGUGAUUUCACAGCCCCGUCCUGACCGCCGCCCCCGACACCGCGAGGGCCGUGGUGAUCGGCGGGGGCUGUGAGGAAGACUUCGGUUUCUGACUCGAGAAGCAUUUUUGGUGUCAGGUGUUUUGUUUUGUUUUUCCUUUCAUGUCAGACUCUUUGGCUUUAAGUAAAAAUCCAAAAAGUUUUUUUUAAAGAAAAAAAAAAAAAGGCAAAGGAAACCUACCUGUAAACUACCUUACUAGCUAGCCCGCCAAGGAUGCCGCCACACCUCUGCUCCGAAGAGUCCAAAAAGCAACACAGGAAGUCAAAAUCCAAAAGUUUUUCUCACUGCCAAAGUAUUUUUUUCACUGUUUUACUCCCUCUUGGGUUUGUUUGGAUGUUGGUCUUUUUCAUUUGGGCCUUGAUUUUGUUUGGGGGUGUUGGGAUGUUGGGGUUAGGGGGCGUGGCUCCAGGAGACGCAGCCUUUGGUGGCCUUCAGCCCCUGGGCGCUGCCCAGGCUGGGCAGAGGCGGCAAGGUGCUGCCCGAGUUCCAAGGCCUCCCGCGGUUGCCCUGUGCACCCAGGAUCCGAGGGAACUCGCCUCCGUCCGUCGGUCCGUCCGCCCAUCCGUCCUCACUCCCUGUGACUUUUUAUAAUUCACCUUCCCACUUGUGAGAACACAAAAGUGCUAAAGUGUUCUUCCCCGAGAGCAUACUUCCGAAACGAAGCCGUGGCGACCUUUUGGGUUGAAUCCUGACUGCUUUUCAAGGCGUGAGGAGCUCGCCGCCCUGAGAGUCCGCGCCCGGUGCUCCCCGCUCUACCUCUACUCGCCACGCCCCACCCUACCUCUCAGCCCGUCACCACCCAACCCGUGUCUCCAUGAGGCUCCUCUCCUUCCUCCCUAGCUUUCACAGAAAAAAAACAAAACAAAACAGCCACGGAGGCAGCUGGCCCGGACCCCACCUUGGAGAUGUGCACGCAGCCCUGUGUGGCCCGCACCCGCGUGACCCCCGUCUGUGCUCCCAGUCCUCAGGGCGAUGGGUGAUACUUUUCUGUCCGAUUUUUUGGUUAGACGUGUUCCCCCACACACUCCAUUUCUUGCCCACCUUGCCCUCCACCCACUGGAAGAACUGAAGGAACGAGAGUCACGCCUGUCACAAACGGAAGAGCCAACACCAGACCACUUGCGUGCAUUCUCUAGAAAGCUCCGUGACAACAGUGCAAUAAGGGUGGUCAGCUACUGAACGGGUCCAGAGGCCCCACCAGAGCCAGGAGUCAUAAUGUGAAUGUAAAUAGUCUCUGCAGAGGUCCAAAAGACGGUAUCCGUGGUGAUGGUGGUGGUGGUGAUGAUGAUGGUGACUCUGAAGAGAUGUUUGCCAAAUAAAAACAAAAUGAGAGAAACCACACAAGUAUGUGAAAUGUAGGAAAUAAAUUUUCAAAGGAAUCUGACCCGUGGCCCCGCUUCGGGGGCGACCGGCGUUUCUUCACAGCUGCGAAACCCGUUCUUUGGAUGUUGCAAGAAAGGGUCCCAUCAGGUGCCCCCAGACCAGUGCCAGCACUGAGGCUGGCAGCAGCGACCGCGUUACUCCCAAGGCCGAGAUAGAUCUCUCCUCUCCUCCUGCGCCCAGGCCCCUCCGCCAGCAGAAGUUUGUUUUUGUCCGCUGUGCGUGAGGACUCUCUCAGCCAGUGGGUCAGGGAAACGGUGCAGGGGUGGCCGGAGCCAGGACACCGAGCCCAGUGCCCAUGGCAGCCGGUGGGGGUGGGGGGUUCCAGAUGGCUCAGAGUCAGCUCUUCUGAUCUGCCCCGGCUGAGUUCCACCGACCACGCAGCCCCUGGCAUUGUGACCCAGAGAUCUAGAAAACAGGGCAAUCGGCAUCAGACUGAGUACAGCCUAGUCUCUACAUGACUGAAAAGGGCAUCAGCGUCCAGCUCCUACCCGGUGGGAACCCAGCCGGCCUCCAGCACACCAGCCCCAUCCGUGGCAGGCCGCGGCAAGCCCCAGGGCGCAGCCACGCACGGCCUGCUGGGAACAGACGGCUCGCUUCCUCUGCUGCUGCUUUUCUCAUUUCCUCAAAGGAGCUGGACUGAGUGUUUGUUGAGCUGUUUUCUUCCUAAGAAGCUGCACCCCACAGUGCCGGUUCUCCGUGGGUGCUGUAGCAUGCCCCCCACACACACUGUCCUGUACAUGUGGCCUGCGGCACGGUGAGUCCCGGUGUCCAGGUCAACUGCGUCUGUGUAAUAAAGGA